GAAAGCUGUGUCUAUGAAGUUAUUACAAGAUAUUGGCUACUGUGGUGCAUGGAGCUUCUAGGCCAGGGUGAUUCUCACACCUGCCUGAUGUGGAUCUUGUUGCUUCACACCUGAAACAUCAUUUGAGAAGCCCGGGAAGUGGUGUGGCUGCUGCAUGGCUGCUCCAAGAACUACUCCCAUGGGAGAGGAGCUCCCAACAGUGCCUUGCCAUCAAGCUUUGAUUUCUACCUUACAUACCUCUGAAUAAACUGUUGCCAAUGAGGCUGAUGGAAGUCUUGUGAGUUUGAAUGCCAGGUUGAACUUAAGAGGAUUCCCUGUUGUGUUUGCAGAGAGCAACUUUGAGGUAUGAGAUAAUGUUUCACUCUGGGACAAAGAACAGGCUUUCUUACAGCUUGAUAUAAAACAGAUGAAUUCCCCAAGUCCAGUGUACCUCUUCUGCAAUGCAACCAAUUGCAUGUACAGGCAUCCAUCUGGGCCCAUGUCACAUCACCCUAUGGGUCUUGGGGAUGGGGAGCAAGGGAAACUGAUGUGGAUGAUAAUGCUCAUAAUGCUUACCAUGCCAUGGGUAAUAGAGUUCUUUGCCAUAGACCUAGGAUUCUUGAGGGUUUUUGUUUUUUUUUUCCAGCUUCCAUGAAACAGUAGUAUAGGCUAACUUGUUAGCUUCCAA
rnacentral:lncRNA from 10 species